rnacentral:pre_miRNA from 1 species
AACCUUUUGUAUCCAUGCUGAGAUUUUGUUAGAAAUCAGUCCGUUGGGGCUGAUGUAACUUCGCAAAUACGUGAAGUG